rnacentral:lncRNA from 1 species
AAAAAAACUCAAAAAAAUUCCUUAAUGGAAUGUUUGCAACUGAAAGUUUCAACUAAUCUACACAAAUAAAUAAAAAUAAAAACAUAACAUUAUUAUAUUAUUAAAAAUAUAUAACUUCAACACAUAAAUAAAAAAUAAAAAAAAUUACAAAGAUAAGCACUAACCUAUCACUUCUACAAGCUGCCCCAAAACUCAAACACCA